GCGCGAAUGGUCUAGUGGUUAUGAUUUCAGUUUCCCAUGUCGCGACUCGAUAAGUCACGUGACUUAGUCAACUGGAGAGUCGGGUUCGAUUCCCGGUUCGCGCA